rnacentral:lncRNA from 1 species
UUUUUUUUUUUUUUUAAAGAUAUUAUUUAUUUAUUCAUGAGAGAUAUGAGGGGUGGGGGCCGAGACACGGGCAGAGGGAGAAGCAGGCUCCAUGCAGGGAGCCCGACAUGGGACUCCAUCCUGGGACUCCAGGAUCACGCCUUGGGCCGAAGGCAGGCGCUUAACCGCUGAGCCACCCAGGGAUCCCCUGAAGUUCUAGUCUUAACAAUAAUGACAUGAUGUGGUUUCACUUGUCCCCAUCUUACAGAUGGGAAAUUGAAGCAGGGCAGAUUAAGUAACUCAAGAUCACACAGUUAUUGGGUGGUAGAGUCACGAUUCGGGCCCAAUUAGUUUGGUUUCAGAGCCCUUGCUUUUUAGCCACUAGGCAAUAUGCAAAAUAUUAUAUGUGGAUAUAAUGAUAUUAAAAUAAAUUAUAGGCCUUAAGGGGGGAGAGCUAAAUGCUAUGGAAAUUGAUACUUCUAGUUGCUGUGAAACGACUUUAUAUUUAAAUUUUUUAAAAAGUAAAAAAAAAAAAUGAGAAAGCAAAGAAUGUUGAUAGUGGUAAUACUUUUACUCUGUGUGAUUCCUAUUUUAAGCUGGGUCCUUCUGUGGGACACAGAGAGGUCUGUGUGUGUGUGAAUUGUCCUACGUAUAUGCUUUGCAGCAUUCAUUCGUUGUAUUGACCAUGCCAGACAUUGAACUAGAUGCCUCAGGGGCAGAGUACGUGUAAUCCUGCUCCAAAGAACUUACCUGGUUGAAGGAAGUGAUUCUAGGGGUUGUCUCAAGAGAACACAUAGAAAGGGGCAUCAACUCUGCAAAGAGGUGGGAAAGUGGGCCAGCCAGGCUGAAAAGGUUUGGAGGAGGAUCUUUGAGAUGAAGAGUAGGUGUCUGCUAGUAGAGUGUUGUAGGAAGGCCAUUGCCCCAGAAGGCAAAGGCAAGGACCUUUUGGGAAACUGCAAGUAGUUCAGAGUAGGCGGGGGUUGUAGAGAGAUGGACAGAGGAAGAAGAUGGGGCUAGAGGAAAAUUGAGAAUGUUCCUGUAAGUACAGUUGACCUUUGAACAACGUGGGUUUGAACUGCGCUGUCCACUUAGGUGUAGAUUUUUCUUUGAUAGAUACAUUACAAUAUUGCAAAUGUAUUUUCCUCACAACUUUCUUAACAUUUUUUUUCUCCAGCUUACUUUAUUGUCAGAAUAUAGUAUAUAAUACAUGUAUCAUACAAAAUAUGUGUUAAUCAGCUCUUUAUGUUAUCAGCACCUUCAACAGUAGGCUGUAAGUGGUUAAGUUUUGGGGGAGUCAAAAAUUACACACAGAUUUUUAGACUGCCUGGGGAUUGGCUCCCCUAACUCCUAUGUUGUUCAAAGGGCCAGAAUGUCAGAAUGCUGUUUAAGAGUUGUAAGUGGAGAUGACACUUUGAUCUAAUUCGUAUUUUAUGAAAGAUCAUCUGGCCACCAUGUGGGCUGUUGACCAGAGGCAAUCAAGACCAAUGUAGGGAAGGUAGUUAUGGAAACUCACAUGAGCCAUAAGAUGAAGCUCUAAAUGGAAGGAAUAGAAGGUGGAAAUGGAACAAAAAGGAAUAAGAGAGGGGUGAGACAGCAUAUGAGGGGUGUGCAGAAGAAGGGUCCUGGAAAUUAGGUGGAAAGAGACACGUAGCAGGUAAUAAAGAAAAAGAGAGGGCACAUGUGUAAAAUGAUGAGUUUAUCAUGGCCACUUGGGGCUUUUGGGUCAGGGUGUGUCGUAGGCAGUUGAAUAUUUGGGUCUGGAGGGAUGACUAGGACUUAAAUAUAAGUCUGUUAGCAGCAAAUCAGAAACUCCUUGAAACAAUGGAUGUGGGCAAUAUCGUGGAGGGAGUUUGUAGGAGACUCGCCGAGGAAUGGAGGAGGAAGAGGAGCCCAGGUCCCCAAUGGGAGGGGAACAGCCAGAGAGUUGAAAAGGCCCAGGGGAGAAAAUAUAGACCAUUCUCAAAAUACAAUGGUGGUACACAGUUAAGACCAGGGGAAGUGCAGCAUGUUUCAACACCAGGGGAGAGAGCUGUCCCUGAUCCCCAGGAGGGGAGGGUUAUGCCCCACAGAUUAAGCACAGUUAAGAAUGAAAACUGUAGUUUGGUUUUUUUUAAGAUUUUAUAUAUUUAUUUGACAGAGCAAGUGAGAGCACACAAGCAUGGGGAGCUGCAGGCAGAGGGAGAAGGAGAAGCAGGGGGCCUGAUGCAGGGCUCGAUCCCAGGAUCCUGAGCUGAGCCCAAGGCAGAUGCCUAACUGACUGAGCCACCCAGGCGCCCCUGGAAAGUGUGGUUUGAUUUAGCACCAGAGAUCUCUGAAUCCGGCCACAGCAGCACCAGGGGAAUAAGGAACGGAAGUCGAGCACUCUGCUGCUCCCCAGACCAAGGCAAAGACAUCAGAACCACAGAACGUGUAACCAUAAGGGACUAGAGAUCACGGAGUCCAGCAUGUCUGUUUACUUACAAGGAAACAUGAGGCCCAGAGAGGCCAAGUGACUUGUCUAAGGUGGAGAGUCACCACUUAAAAGCCGGACGUCAGGUGAGGGGCUUGGUCCUGGCUCCCCUCCAGCUGCGUGAACCGGGCCAAGUUACCUAAACUCUCCGUGCCUCCCUUUUUUCCACCCUUACAUUGGAGAUAAUAGUUCCUUCCUCAGAGCUUUGCUGUGAGGAGUCAGUGAGAUAAUAAAUGUAGAGCAGUCGGGAUAGUGCCCCACACGUGGAGACGCUGGGAGUGUGCUGCUGCUGUUCCGUGUGUGUGUGUGUGUGUGUGUGCGUACACACAUCCGUGUAGCAUAUUUACAUACGUAUCCCUUAGGGAAGGGAGGAUGAAGAGGUACUGUCUGCACGAAAAGAAAUUGUGAAUAUUUUAGAAAGAGAUUUGGGCGACUGGUCAGGUCUUGGGUCAAGAAUUAUUGGAAAGGUAGGAAAGUUUAUAUAGUAUGACUGAAAAACAGCAUGUUGAGUAAGUUUUCCUGAGAAACGCAGAGCCUUUUUUAUUCUUGAGAAUAGAAAACAUAAAAGCACUUUGAAGUUAGCCCUAUCAAAGAGUGUCUUGGUUUUAGUCAGACAACCAGAAUUUUAACCUAGUUAUGAUGCAAAUCCUUUGAAUUUGACUUAGGAAUUUCAUCAGACUUCCUGAAGGCAGAGACUACAGAGAAAACGUGAGUUAUGACUUUUAGGCACUUGGUUCUUACGAGAAUAGGGUGAUUUGGAUUAUUUCGAGAAAUAUCCUUUUUUUUCCCCUCAAUGUAGCAAAUCUAAUUUUUAGCUGCCAAAACACCCGAGUAGCCCAAACACUAUUACCCCAAUGGACUUGGGUGACAGGCAGUAUAGACAGCCUAGGAAUAAGUGGCACUCUGGACUUGAUUAGAACACAGUAAUCCUAGAAGGAUAUAAAUUGAACUGGAUUUAUGGUCUAAUAAAAACGUGGGAAGAAAAGAUAAUGCUUACUGACUCAUGAAACUUUAACAACGUUUGUGAGGCUCUGAGUUGUCGUAAUGUUUGGAUGAGAGCAUUUUCCCAUUCGUCUCAGCGCUUCCAGGAUGACCUACAGGAUGUAAAGCUGACUUGGGUCCAUCCUGGGUAUUUUUAGGAAGCAGAGAUCACCACGUUAUUUCUGCCCUUGUAGACCUGUGGCCUCAGGCAGCCCCUUGUUGGUUUGGACAAAUAUGUGUCGAACAUCAAUUAACUAUAAAUUUGGGGGAGAAAAAUGUACAGUGUGGGAAAGUCUUAGCCCAUUGCUUAUUUCAAUUCGUAAGGCUUCUUCUGACGGCUGCUUAUUUCUGGCCUUCUGAUAAUGUCAAAAAAAAAAAAAAAAAAAA